CCUACGGGUUGCACCAGUAGGGAAUCUUCCACAAUGGGCGCAAGCCUGAUGGAGCAACGCCGCGUGCGUGAAGAAGAUCUUCGGAUCGUAAAGCGCUGUUGUUAGAGAAGAACACGGAUAAGAGUAACUGUUUAUGCGUUGACGGUAUCUAACCAGAAAGUCACGGCUAACUACGUGCCAGCAGCCGCGGUAAUACGUGGGUGGCAAGCGUUGUCCGGAUUUAUUGGGCGUAAAGGGAACGCAGGCUGUUUUUUAAGUCCGAUGUGAAAGCCUUCGGCUUAACCGAAGAAGUGCAUCGGAAACUGGGAGACUUGAGUGCAGGAGAGGAGAGUGGAACUCCAUGUGUGGCGGUGAAAUGCGUAGAUAUAUGGAAGAACACCAGUGGCGAAAGCGGCUCUCUGGUCUGUAACUGACGCUGAGGUUCGAAAGCAUGGGUAGCGAACAGGAUUAGAUACCCAGUAGUC
rnacentral:rRNA from 1 species